CCUGGUUGAUCCUGCCAGUAGUCAUAUGCUUGUGUUAAAGAUUAAGCCAUCCAUGUCUAAGUAUGAAUCAUACAACGGUGAAACUGCGAAUGGCUCAUUAAAUCAGUAAUAGUUUAUUUGAUGGUAGCUCUUUACUUGGAUAACUGUGAGUAACCCUAGAGCUAAUACAUGCCAGAAGUCCCGACUGGCGGGGUCCCUCGGGGCCUGCGGCCGGACAGGGAUGCACUUGUUAGCUGAGCAAGCCAACGGCCGUCGUUCUUUCGGGGGCGGCGGUCACCACGGCGAGUCAUGACAAUUGAGCUGAUCGCAUUGGCCUUCGUGCCGGCGACACUUCAUUCAAAUUUCUGCCCUAUCAACUUUCGAUGGUAGUAUAGAGGACUACCAUGGUCGUAACGGGUAACGGGGAAUUAGGGUUUGAUUCCGGAGAGGGAGCCUGAGAAACGGCUACCACGUCUACGGACGGCAGCAGGCGCGCAAUUACCCAAUUCCGACACGGAGAGGUAGUGACAACAAAUAACAAUACCGGACCCACAAGGGCCUGGUAAUUGGAAUGAGUACAACUUAAACCCCUUAACGAGGAGCAACUGGAGGGCAAGUCUGGUGCCAGCAGCCGCGGUAAUUCCAGCUCCAGUAGCGUAUAUUAAAGUUGUUGCGGUUAAAAAGCUCGUAGUUGGAUUUCGGGACCGCAGAGGAACGGUCUGCGCUGCCUUCGAGCGGCGUGUGCACUGUCCACUCGGUCUUACGUUGCUUCUGGAUGCUCGGCCCUGCUCUUAACUGAGUGGGGCUCAAGGGCUCCUCGGGUCGGGCUUCGGCCUGGUUCGGGGACCCGGAGUUCCAGAUCUAUUACUCUGAGAAAAUUAGAGUGUUCAAAGCAGGCUGUUUGCAGCCCUGAAUACAUUAGCAUGGGAUAAUGCGAUUUGGACUUCGGUCCUCAUCUCGUUGGUUUCUGAGGUGCGCCGAGUCAGGAUUAAUAGGGAUAGUUGGGGUGAUUAGUAUUCAGGCGUCAGAGGUGAAAUUCUUGGACCGCCUGAAGACUAACUUGUGCGAAAGCAUUUCACAAGGAUGUUUUCAUUAAUCAAGAACGAAAGUUGGGGGAUCGAAGACGAUCAGAUACCGUCGUAGUCUCAACCAUAAACCAUGCCGACCAGGGAUCGGGAGACGUCGUAUUCCAAGGACUCCCCCGGCACCUUGUGAGAAAUCAUAAGUGUCUGGGCUUCGGGGGGAGUAUGGUCGCAAGGCUGAAACUUAAAGGAAUUGACGGAAGGGCACCACCAGGAGUGGAGCCUGCGGCUUAAUUUGACCCAACACGGGGAAACUCACCAGGUUCGGACAGCAGAAGGAUUGACAGAUUGAUAGCUCUUUCUUGAUUUGCUGGGUGGUGGUGCAUGGCCGUUCUUAGUUGGUGGAGUGAUUUGUCUGGUUGAUUCCGUUAACGAACGAGACCUUAACCUGCUAAAUAGUUACGCCAGCCUUCUCGUUAC
rnacentral:rRNA from 1 species